CAGCAGCCGCGGUAAUACGUAGGUGGCAAGCGUUGUCCGGAAUUAUUGGGCGUAAAGGGCUCGCAGGCGGUUUCUUAAGUCUGAUGUGAAAGCCCCCGGCUCAACCGGGGAGGGUCAUUGGAAACUGGGAAACUUGAGUGCAGAAGAGGAGAGUGGAAUUCCACGUGUAGCGGUGAAAUGCGUAGAGAUGUGGAAGAACACCAGUGGCGAAGGUGACUCUCUGGUCUGUAACUGACGCUGAGGAGCGAAAGCGUGGGGAGCGAACAGGAUUAGAGACCCCCGUAGUCCCUGUCUCUUAUAC
rnacentral:rRNA from 1 species